AGCCAUUAGCUCAGUCGGUAGAGCAUCUGACUUUUAAUCAGAGGGUCGGAGGUUCGAAUCCUCCAUGGCUCA
rnacentral:tRNA from 1 species